AAAUCUUCUUAGACGGUAGCAACUUUGAAUUGACGCAGUACUAAGAUAGCAUUAUUUAACGACGCGCGACGUCUAUUUUACGGCGUAUAUGGCAAUGAUAGAUAUCUCGGUUUAUUAGUAAUUGUACGGUCUUAUUCGUGAGUUGUAUAAUCUUUAAAUCUUUCUCUUUCGUUCUCGCAAUUGAAUAGAUAGAAACUAAGCACGACAAUAACAAUCUAAUGAAUGUAAACUAAUGAAAGUAAUUAAUAAAAAGAAUGAACAUAAUAAUCGCGAAAUCUUCUGUUAUGUAAGAAUCUUGUAGAUGCUAUUUUACAUGACCUUUUAUUUACUGUAGACUAUAACCGUUCGCAAGUCACUUCGGAAUUUAUUUUUAUCGUGAUAUUAUCUGCUUCGAUGGCGCGCUUUUAACUUCUUGGAGGAAGAGAGACACGCGACGAUAGAUAUCGUAAGCCGAUAUCCCAGCAGUGAGUUCGCUGAUGGUGUUCCGCGAGUACUCGUGACAUUUUAAUAUUUCCAGUAUGAAAGGGAUUAUCACGCGUAAGAAGUAACGAUGUAAACGCGCGGAAGGGCGAGUUUACAUCGUUUAACGACUAGGUGACGAGGAAGCGGAGAAAGUAACAAGAGAGAGAAAGAGGGAAGCCCAUGUGAAAGAGCAAGCAAGUCCGGGCUGCACCGAGUUUGUCUAAUGACUUGUUGCCAACGAAGCUGCCGUAACGAGGUCAUCGAUAAGUGGCAGCGGGUGUCGUAUCCCUGCGUGAGCUAGCCGUUUCGAAGGGAUGGUCGAGAUUACUUACAGCACGGCGGCAGCAAGGACUUAAUCCAAUGCCGACGUUGGUGAUAGCAGUCAGAAGGCAACUGACAGAAGGAGAUGAUCUAAAUGAAAAGAAAGGAGAACAGGAGCAGAGAUGGCAAUCAACAUAGAAAGAGAUAAAAGUACAGGAAAGAUUUCAAUAAAUUUCAGAAAAGCGACAAGAAAAGUCAUGCUGAAAAGAUACUGACAUUCCAUCACAAAAAUAGGGAUAAAAAAUAGGCAGAGUCUAUUUAAAAAAAGUUACAGCUCGCGUGUGUCCCCGAUUUGGCAUCGCCUGCUUGUUCGUUUUCGAUGGUUUGCGAAUGCCGCGAAUUGAUGGCAGGAUGAAUCAGCGACUCCAUGGCAAUCGUGGUAACUGCAGGGUGAGACGGGACAAAUACCGGACAGAAUACCGUAGAAAUGUAUUUCGAAGAUAAAAUACUCUGAAAAAUAUAUUCGAAGUAAAAAACUGUAGAAUAUUCCAUUUCUCUUUUUAUUUCUCUCUGCUGUUGAAGGUGUACUUUAUCAAGUGCAGAUAUGUUUGGCAGACUUGAUUUUUUAAAUUUUAUUCAGGAUGUUAGGGAUACAAAACUUAUAUUUUGCAUUACAAAUAUCCGUUCGGUUUGACGUACUGCUCGAUAUUGUGGGGUGGCUCACGAGGCGGUAGGCUGAUCCUAUAAGUGUUGUUCGCGUUCAUCGGGAAACGACGGCGGCGCUGGCAUUUCAGGAGGGUGGUUGCGAGCUUUAAUAAGGGCUGCCGAAUUUCACACUGACUUGGCGGAGCCGGGCCGGAGGGGUAGGUUUUUCGCGGCGGCGAAGCCACCCCUGAGGAGCGAUCCGCCGAUGGACCGAGGGGUGAGUCGGUGUGCGGUGGGCCGGCAGGAAGGGAAAAAGAUUCGGAGGGAUGGCGAAAUGGAAGGGAGGCGUGCGGCUGAUCGGCUCGAAUAAAGUUUGGGUCGCGCGCGCUCGCCCGCUCGCGCGCACGCACACGUUCGCGCGUAUACGACGGCGGCGAGCUAAGCGAUCGACAGCCGGAUUAUUGGAGUAUUAGAACUUGUCUCAUAACUCACGGACCUAAUGGCCUCCGACCCGGCGAUUCGGGCGCUGCGCUGCGUAUUGCCUUUGACGCGACGGAGGAUAUAUGUCGGCCCGCCGCUCUGCACUUUGUCCGCCGCGAACGCGCUCCUAUUUUUGCGCCUCGCUGUUUUUUGGCCGUCCGAGAAUAAACGAUCGCGCCAGACUUUUGGCUCUCCUUUUGGCUGACGGUAUAUGUUUUCCAAGCUUCUCUUCAUUUUUCUUUGUAGGAAAGUCGAAAUUAUAUCUGAAAUUGACAACGUCAAAUCGAAGAUUGUCGAAUGAUUUAUGGAGAAUGGGAUACUCGCAUAUCAAACGGCUCCGUUGUCAGGAAUAAGCUCGCGUCAAGAAUUGAAAAACGAGGGAAAAACUCGCGCAAAAAUCAGGGACUCGCGAACCGAGAUUCGUCUCGCAAGAGAGACGUGGCUCCGGUCAGGAAAGCGAACAGCUGCGGCCGAGCGAGCGAGCGAGCACGCCGGCUCGCGUCCGGGAGAGCGCGUCAGGCGGUGCUCGCAACAGGAUUGUUUUAAUGCCAUUUAAACUAAUCGAAUUAGAGAACGAACCGAUGUGACGAUACGGUACGAUAAAAAAAGGGGGAUGAUGCCGCGCGGCAGGGAGGACACGGGGGCGGCACGCGGGGAGAAUGGCAGUGACUCGGUUACGGGAUGGCGAGGGGGUAUGUGCGGGGUGGAGGGGAACGGAUGGGCACGCAAAAGGGGCGCGUGGAUGUGCAACAACAACCACCCUCCUCUCUCCUUCCCGCCCCCCGGCCCUCCUGCAAACUCCGCAGCUGCCAGGCGCAGCGCCCACUCGACCGGAAGUAACGCGACUACUGCCUACAACACGUCUCCGUCUCGCUCUCCCGCUGUCUAUCUCGCUGCUGCCACCCUCCUUCGCUCGCCCAUGCACUCUCGCUGUUUCUCGCAGUCGCCGCUCUCUCCCUCGUGCUCAUCAUCACCCGCCGCCGACUCGCGCACCCCUCCACCACUGUCAUUUACAUGCGUACACACUCGGGGGUUGCCGCGCGUCUCCCUUUCUUCCACCUCGUCUCUCUUUCGCUCUCUUGCACUCUUUCUCGCUCGGUCUCCGUCUGUCGUCGCGGCUGACUCCGCGCGCGCGGGAACACGAGCGGAGCGCGUUUCGCAGCAGCGAGUGCGGAAGCGAUGCGCUCCGCGGCUCUCUUCCGCGUUGUGGAGACCACCCCGGAGAAACGCGACCUCGCGACGCCCGACGUCAACGCCGGCCACGGUGUCCUGACACACGCCAUUCGGAGGGAUGCGAGCUACACACUAGAAUUUUUUUAGCGCGACCGGACAUGAACUCUGAUAAUUUUAUAUUUCUGUAAAAUCGAUCUCCUUAGUCCAAUCAGAGGUCCAUUUUGUCAAACCCUCGAGAUUGAAACGAGGAGUGUUUUUGCACGCGAUCGUUGCAUCCGGUGAAUGAAUGCGUGAUUCGACACGCGCGUAAACGCAAUAUUUUAGAAGACUCAUCGUCCGCACGUCGCUUCCUGCAGCGAACGAAACGCACUCGCAUCGAAUCGGAUUUCUUCUGGAUCGACAACCUCGCACGUGCUUAUCGAAUGCGCGUCGCCUACAAAGACAACACGGACGUGCAAUAGUCAUAAAUCGCGCAUUACCAUAUCUUACACAUGCGAAUAAAUAAAUAAUUAGUCCCAUAGAUGCGCGAAAGAAAUACAAGAAUGAUUGUUUAAACGUGUUGCUAAAUGUUCUGCAGAUUGAAGGGGCAGUUUUCUCCUUUCGCUUGGAUAUGAUUAAUUUAUUACGUUAUUACGGCGAAUUUACGAAUAAAAUCGUGCACCAUUGUGCAUCGUAAUGAAGAGAAAUAAUGACGUAUUUUCCGCUAUGAGAAAAUCGAUUGUUAAUGCUCAAUACGCCAAUAAAAGGUGUCAAAACAGUGCGACCUGCCGCGCUGCAAUGAGUGCCGCAAUGUAAUACCUGCACUUAAACGACAAAUUAAACUGCGCCGAGACACCCCAGCGUAUAUCGGGUAUGUGUAGUAUGCCUGUUGCCUAUUACAGGUCUCCCCUUUGUCCUCCCUCUUUACCUGUUCUCCACGUCAGUAAAUUACGCACACCCUCUUCUCUCAUUAAUGCACUCAAAAGGCACUCCCAUGCCACGUACUCGUCCGUUUGAAAGCACGAUUAUUUGAUGAUGUUGUAACGAACGUAAAUAAAACGUAUGGUUAUGAAAUGCCUCGUCGUGAUGUUACGUGAUGAUUAGCAAGAUAGUGUCGCGCACAAAACGCAGCCAUCAGAAUUGCGGUAAUAAAGUUGCAAUUCAUUACCGUGAUUAUUUAGCCGCAAUAUAAAAGCAGUAAACAUGCGUAAAAUUACGAAUGCAUCAAAGAAUAAGCAAAUUGUAAACGAGUUGCGCGUUCUUCCUGCAUCUUUUCCUUUUCUCUAAAAAUCCGUGCGACAUGCUCAUCGUUAGAUCGAGAAACGAAGAUCUAGCAGCUCCUCAAGCGAAGCGAUUUCCCAAUUAAAAAUCCUGCCGAUUAGCGGUCCUCGUUGCGGACUACGCGUGCAAUCUCGACAUCCAGGACUCGCGCGACGCUGAUCUCGCGAACGAGAAAUGUGCCGCGCGGCAGGAAACGCCGAGCGCGGGAGCGUAAAAAUCGCGGGCACGUCGCGUCGCACGCGCGCCGCGUGCACCCCCACGCGCAUGGGAUCUCGCGCCGAUCCAACCCUCCACGAAGAGCAUCCUGCGAGAGCGACCGGUAGCAACCCUCCUGUCGACGUCGCUCCGCCCCCUGCCACCACUCUCGCUGCACCCGGAUAGUCGCUCGACGCGCAUAGUCGCCUAUGGGGUUGCAGCGCUCUCACUGAUGCAACGCCAUCGGGAUCCGUUGGCAUCCCUUUUCACUCCGUGCAACCCUUCAACGAGAUGCGCUCGACCGUCCGUCCGUCCGUCCGUCCGUCCGUCCGUCUGUCUGUCUGUCCAUCUAUCCGUCCAUCCGUCCUGCAUCCCUCUCAACGAUCCACAUUCCGCGCCAUCCAUCUCAUCCGCCGCGGCAGCUGUUGCGGACUCGUCGUCUCGAAAUCGACGAUACUAACUUUUUGCGAAUGCUUCUCUUCUCACCCUCUCGCUUUUUGUUUCUCUCUCUCUUUUCUCUCUCAUCACUCCUCGUGAAACUUUUAACUCCCAUUUGUAACUUCCAUUUUCCCGGCACCGCGAUGCUGCUCCUUUGUUUACCAGGUCGCGUAACACGACAAGGCGCCGUUUAGAUUUUUAUAAUACGCAGAUACGAGUGGAUGAAGAGACACAUCGAGCCUCUCUCUUUCAUCACCCAUCUUGUUCGUCUGGUCUGGUCUGACCUGACGCGCUUACCGUGAUUAAAAGUUGCUCUCUAUGUCGCAUUUAAUCGACAGCAGGCUGUUGCGUAAGAUGUAUAAGAAGCAUUAAAAGUCAUAUUGUAAACAGUAACAAUCAUCGUAGCGCUAUAUUGUCAUACUUGCACGAUGAAUGCGUAGACUUUUGUAGAUCAGCUUUCAGCUGCUUCCAGGCUUAUUCUUCUUUUCGCUAAAUAUUCUCAUAGUUAUACGAGACGUUAUUUUUCUUCGUUCAUUAUUAAAAGAAGAAAUAAGGGAUGGAAAAGCAGAAACAGUUAAUAAAACGACGUUAAAUUAAAUGACAUGAAACGUUUUUAUUAAUCUGUACGUUAUCGGAUUUUACACAAUCUCGUUAAUAAGUAUAAUUUCUCGCGAUAUUCGUUUUCUGUUUUCCGAUAUGCGAUUUCCCCGCUUUCACAUCCUACAUUGUUCAUCUAAUACAUUAGCGAAUUCUCGACGCAUCUCCAUGAGUCGGCUCUUCCGUCUGAUGCUAAUUCGGUCGAGGUAUUAAUUUGCAUAUUGCUGAGGUAUGUUUUUGAGCUUUAGAUUUUCACGUUUCUAUAUAUCCAUGGUACAUCGGUAGUAUAUUGAUAAGAAAUUAUCCUCAAGAUUAUAUAAAGAUCACUUUAAAUCAUCAUAACAUAAAUCCUAUAUAAUACAAUAGUUUAAUCGCGCGAUUUACAUUUAAUAAAUAGUUACACUCUUCUUAUGCAUUAAAAUGGACUACGUGAACAUAUAUAUAGAUAAACGCAACUCUCACGCCUGCGAGUAUCACAACGCCGACUAAUCAAAUCACCAGGAUAACUAUGGGCAGACUGUAGUCCUUUCUCGCGGAUCUUCUUGGCGGAGAAGUACAAACGAUAUCUAAAUGCUCUUCUUUCGCUCUUUUCUGUUUCCUGCUUUCAUUAUGAUUCACGAUGAAGAAGACAUCGACUUUAAACCUUGAACGAACAGGCAGCCUUCAGACCCUGCCGCCACGAAUCUCCUUUCAUUAGUUGGAGUGGGAGACCAUCCAGCCAGCUAGCCAGUCAGUCAGUCAAACCAACCAACCAACCAACCAGCCAGCCAACCUACCUAUCUGCCAACUAACCAUACAUCCAACCACCACAACGACCUACCCAGCACCACCACUACCGCCAUCACCGCCACCACUACUAGCAUCAUCGCGAAUGAGCCGAUGAAACCUCCUCCGUGAUCCGCUCUCGUUCGCGGUGGCGGCCGUCUCCUGAUCUCGCGUGCGGUUGACUCGUUUUCAAUGAAUACAAUGCCGCGGCAGAUCAUAUCGGAUAUGAAAACGGGAAAUCAACGAGUGCUUCAGCCAGGGAUGGCUGAAGCUGAACUCGCUCGACGCCGCGCUCGAACCGAGUCGGGAUUCCCGCCGGGUCUCGCUUUGUCGAAUUAACCGGGAAUGAUGGUCCGAAAGGUGAGGCGAGGGAGAAGGUAUGAAGUAUCGAUAUCGCGCUCAAGCAUCAGGGGACUCGCCGGAGAUCACGAUAAUACGACGUGGUACAAUGGAACGCGGCUUGCUCGCUCGCUCGAUGCACGCAUGGCUCUUUGUGUCGCGAUCUUUUGUGUCCGCAGAUCUCGAAGGUUUUGCAUCGGAAGCAAAUAUAUUUGCGCGCCGACGCGGGACCAAUCUCGUUGACAUCAGCUUAUUGACAUUAGCUUCGACUUUCCGGUUCAAGUAGUUCUUCUACUUCCGGCUCGAAUUCUCGAGAAAGCUAGUGCAUCGAUUAUUAACCAUUUACUUAGAUUACGCUUCGUACCCCCGGGGGGCUCGCGUUGAGCCCACUUCGUUUGGGCGAACCACUCUCCGUUGUUUCCAAAGCACGAGCAAACUAUGCGCUUUAUCCCCUAAGCAACUACCAGUGCUUUUAACCCACUUACAGCCCCAAUGCGCCAUAGAUAGAUAUAUUCACGGCCAAAGUCCGUCGAGUCGAUUAAUCCGAGUCCCGAUGGCGGCUCGUCGACUGUUAUAUUCAGUCACGAUCGGAAGAUUAUGCGAACGCGCGAGUCAGUGCACGCCUUUCCGCGUACGCAAAGUAAUUUACUCGCACGAACGAGUGUGCAAAAGAUGUAUGCAUGUUAAUAAAAAAAUUCUAUUAACCGGAGGUGUAUCGGAUACCGGAGUCCUUCGCGUCAUUUCACCACGCAUCUUCGUACGUAAUAUGCACGCCAUAUAGGUAUAUAGAUACGGAGAGCUAUAAGAGGAGCGUAUUCUCGUAAUACGGCGUCGAGAGCAAAGGAUGAUAACCUUCUGCAUCAGGCUUCCUGAUAUAUUUUUUUUCUUUUACUGCAAGCGGCUAAUUAUAUUGAUAUCGAGGUGUACCGACAUGGUGAUCAAAUAACUUUUAUUCUCGAUCGAAGUUGAAUCCAAAUAUUUUCUAGAUUUAUCCAAUGCGAUGUAAAAAUGUGAUAAACAGAGGCCACUUUUACAUUUCACGUUUCUCG
rnacentral:lncRNA from 1 species